UUAAAUGAUAGCCAGUUCUCUUUGCUUCGGCAGAGAUUGAGCAGGCAUUAACCCUUUGUGAACUGUAAUUGUACUUGGGUACACUACUCUUCGGAGGACGGUACCCGACAUUUAUAAACCCCCUAUAUGUUUAACUGAAUGGUGGAUCUAAGAGAAA
rnacentral:misc_RNA from 1 species